GGUGGCUCAGUGGUAGAGCACUUGCCUUGCAUCCAUAAGGCCUUAGGUUCGAUUCCUCAGCACCA
rfam:Dipodomys ordii contig_29719, whole genome shotgun sequence.